AUGUCCAAGGAUGGGCCAUCUCACAAGCCUAAGAUCCCAGACAGCAGGGCGAGAUGUGUGGAUGACACCCACAGACCAGACAUUGGUCUCUCCCUCAACUCUGCACAGGAGCUGGGCUCUGAGGUGCAGGGACGCGGGGUCUGGGCCCUCACAGGACUGGACAGGAGGUCUGGGCCCUCACGGGGCUGGGACACGGGCCUGGGGCAGCCAUGUCCCCCACCACACUCUCUUGGUACUUCCUCUCUUGCAGCCAGCACCACAGCCCCAUCCGUCUUCCCCUUGGCUCCCAGCUGUGGAGUCAGUUCUGGCUCCACGGCGUCCCUGGGCUGCCUGGUCAGCGGCUUCUUCCCCGAGCUGGUCACCGUGUCAUGGAAGUCCGGAGCGGCCGAGUUGACCAGCGGUGUGCGCACCUUCCCAUCUGUUCUGAAGUCAGGGCUCUACUCGCUCAACAGCAUGGUGACGGUGUCCUCCAGCACCUGGCCCAGCCAGACUGUCACCUGCCAUGUAGUCCACCCGGCCAGCAACACCAAGGUGGACAAGACCAUUGAGCCCAGGUCUUCGGAGCCCCCCUUGCCAAGAUGCCAUUGCCCAAAACCUGCGUGCGACAUUGGACCAUUUGUCCUCAUCUUCCCUCCAAACCCAAAGGACACACUCAUGAUCUCCCAAGACCCCAAGGUCACCUGUGUGGUGGGAGACGUGAGCCGGGAUAACCCAGAGGUCGAGAUCACCUGGUUCAUAGACAAUGUGGAGGUACACGAGGCCCAGACGCUGCCCCCAGAACAGCAGUACAACAGCACACUCCAAGUGGUCAGCGUCCUGCCCAUCCAGCACCAAGACUGGCUGUCAGGAAAGGAGUUCAAGUGCAAAGUCAAGAACAAGGACCUCCCAGCCCCCAUAGAGAAAACCAUCUCCAAAGUCAAAGGGCAAGCCCGAGAGCCACAAGUGUAUGUCUUGCCACCACCGAGAGAGCAGAUGACCAACCCAAAGCUCAGCCUGACCUGCUUGGCACAAGGGUUCUACCCUGAGGAUAUCUUUGUGGAAUGGAGGAGCAAUGGCCAGCCAGAGGAGAACUACAAGAGCACCUCGCUCGUCUUGGACUCCGAUGGGUCCUACUUCCUCUACAGCAAGCUGCCAGUAGACAAGAGCAGGUGGGAGAGAGGAGACAGCUUCACCUGCUCUGUGAUGCACGAGGCCCUGCACAACCACUUCACGCAGAAGACCAUCUCCCGGUCUCCGGGUAAAUGAGAGCUGGGCCUCAGCAGCCGGUGCCUCCCUCUGGGCCUCGGUCCACAGGAGGCUGGCACCUGCCACCCCUCCCCAUGUAAAUAAAGCACCCAGUGAAGCCUGGGACCUGCGAGGA